AAUCCCGCAGCUCAACUGCGGAGCUGCCUUUGAUAUUGGCCAUCUCGAGUCCGGAAGAGGUGAGUGGAAUUCCGAGUGUAGAGGUGAAAUUCGUAGAUAUUCGGAGGAACACCAGUGGCGAAGGCGGCUCACUGGUCCAUUACUGACGCUGAGGUGCGAAAGCGUGGGGAGCAAA
rnacentral:rRNA from 1 species